rnacentral:rRNA from 1 species
GACGAACGCUGGCGGCGUGCUUAACCCAUGCAAGUCGAACGGAAAGGCCCUGCUUUUGUGGGGUGCUCGAGUGGCGAACGGGUGAGUAACACGUGAGUAACCUGCCCUUGACUUUGGGAUAACUUCAGGAAACUGGGGCUAAUACCGGAUAGGAGCUCCUGCUGCAUGGUGGGGGUUGGAAAGUUUCGGCGGUUGGGGAUGGACUCGCGGCUUAUCAGCUUGUUGGUGGGGUAGUGGCUUACCAAGGCUUUGACGGGUAGCCGGCCUGAGAGGGUGACCGGCCACAUUGGGACUGAGAUACGGCCCAGACUCCUACGGGAGGCAGCAGUGGGGAGUAUUGCACAAUGGGCGGAAGCCUGAUGCAGCAACGCCGCGUGCGGGAUGACGGCCUUCGGGUUGUAAACCGCUUUCGCCUGUGACGAAGCGUGAGUGACGGUAAUGGGUAAAGAAGCACCGGCUAACUACGUG